rnacentral:lncRNA from 1 species
CUCUGUAAAAGUGAUUACGUCGUCCGGGCGCAGUUUCUUCGUCGGCUCCCCUCCCGCAGACAUCCCCGGGCCCAGCCGCUUGGAGAUCAUAUUGAUGACCCCGGCCGUCGGCUGAUUAGUCGUCGCUUCUUCAGUCGGCUGGGGUCGUCGGUCGGCAACUGGUUGGGUCGGUGGGUUCUUCCGAAAUUUACCGAGAUACC